UGCCAGCCGCCGCGGUAACACGGGGGGCGCAAGCGUUAUUCGGAAUUAUUGGGCGUAAAGGGCGCGCAGGCGGUCUUGUCCGUCAGGUGUGAAAGCUCGGGGCUCAACCCCGGAAGUGCACUUGAAACAGCAAGACUUGAAUACGGUAGAGGAGAGAGGAAUUCCUGGUGUAGAGGUGAAAUUCGUAGAUAUCAGGAGGAACACCGAUGGCGAAGGCAGCUCUCUGGACUAUUGCUGACCCUCAGGGACGAAAGCUAGGGGAGCGAACAGGAUUAGAUA
rnacentral:rRNA from 1 species